rnacentral:lncRNA from 1 species
UGGGGAGUGAGCCUUGCGCCACCGCCGCUGCAGGCCGGGGAGCCCAGCCGGGGGCACCCUCAUACCAGGCUGACUGACGUCCCUGGCACCCAAAUGUCGCGGGGAGUGCGGGGCCAGGGUGCGCCCUCCCUCCUCCUCCAGCCAGUGAAACCCGGGACAGCGGCACCCAGCCCCAGGGCGGAGGCCGUCUCUGCUGCGCGCAGCGACGCACCCAGGCCCAAGGGCCGGGAGAUCCGCGGGGAACCCGGAGACCUGCGUCCCAGAGGGGCCGAGGGUUGCACCGCGCCCGCUCCCACGGGCCUCUUCCGAGAGGACGCUUCUCCCGCGUGUCCGCGGGAAGUCCUCGGAUCCUGGAUGAGAAAGAGCCUUCUCUCACCGGCUCCCAGACCCCGCGCUUUUUAAUACCUGUCCUUGCAGAGCGACUGGUCAUUUUAGGCCCGAGUCAAGCCUCUCUUGAUUAAUAAAUGACCAUGGCUCGUUUUGUUUUAAGUGUGCGUGGAUGUAUACGUUGUAUUGUUUUGCAAUUCAACACCGCAAAGAUCUGGGAAAAGUUCUUCACCUGCAUUAAGGAAAGCAAUUACAAACUCGUAGUGCAAACCAGAAGAGCCAGAAAAUCAAGUAGAAGGCUCAGGGUAGGAUGAAACCAAAGGGAACAGGAAUCGUUUCUUCCUUUUAAUAAGAUGUCAGGUUACUGGACUCACUUGAUGAGAGGCAGCAAAACGAAUCGAACACAGCCUGGGUUCAAAGCCUGACCCCGCCAUCUAAUGAUGUGACCUUCUGCAAAUUCUUAGUCGCUCUAUGCCUCAAUUCUUUAAUCUACAAAAUGGGAAUAAGGAUGCAGCUACCGAACAGCUUCUACUCUCCUGCUGUGAGGAUUAAAUGAGUCAGCAGUUCCGAACUGCUUCAAUCGGCCU